rnacentral:rRNA from 1 species
UACAGAGGGUGCAAGCGUUAAUCGGAAUUACUGGGCGUAAAGCGUGCGCAGGCGGUUUUGUAAGCCAGAUGUGAAAUCCCCGGGCUUAACCUGGGAAUGGCAUUUGGGACUGCAAGGCUUGAGUGCGGCAGAGGAGACUAGAAUUCCUGGUGUAGCAGUGAAAUGCGUAGAUAUCAGGAGGAAUACCGAUGGCGAAGGCAGGUCCCUGGGCUGACACUGACGCUCAUGCACGAAAGCGUGGGGAGCAAACAGG